GGAGGGGCGGGGAUAUAUGGAGCGGGCGCGGGAGGGAUACGACUCGAGCGUGGGGGUUUGGGGGCGCGGGGGCUGCUGCUGCUGCUGCUGAGAGGGCCGCUGCUGGGAAGGCUGCUGCUCCUGGCCGGUAGUACCCGCGGACGGACAGGAGGAGGUUCGUCCUCCGCCUGCGCCUCGCCGCCGCCGCCGUCGCCGGCUCCCCGCCGUUCCGCCUCCUCUUCCCGCGCCGCCUCCGCGGGCGCCACCUCAAGCCGAUGCUCGCCCUGAAGCUCCCGUCCAUGCUCCAGCCGGCGGACGAGCCGGUGCCGGUCAAGCCGAUGUGGAAGCGGCGUCAGCUGGCGGAGAGGCCCCUGGCGCAGCGGCAGUUCGCGUAGCUGUUCCGGUUCUACUGGGCUGGACAACGACACCUUCUACAUUUCUCUCUUCAAUUCUAAGAAUUUCGGGAAUUUCCGGUACUCUUGUAACAAGUGAAGCUGUUACGUAAGCUCCUGCUAAGUAUACACAUAUAACACUACCUUGAAACACUUCCACCACUUGAUAACCUGGCCUAAAACCGUUUUUUUUUGUCGGCGAUAUCACUCUUUCUACGACGACACCACCACGCCGUCUACGAGUUUCACCGACGACUCACAGUAGACGCACCCAAUCAGGUGGCUCUAUACUUCGGACUCUUGAAGGAAAAGUUUAGUUGGUUCCUCCUAAGCGGAGACUUCCGUUGUCUAAAACCAAACAGUCUAAAGUAUUUUGGUCCCUUCUUCAAGGCACUAUAUCAACCGUCACGGAUAAUACAACGUGGUCUUCAUAAUUUUGCAGCUAGACCUGGACUCAGGCUACAAACCUCGUAUCCUCAAUAUUGAAUGUAAAACGAGACACCCUCCGCGGGAAAAACCCUAUUUUGUCUCCUACCAUAUAAGUUCCUCCAAGAUUCUUUGUUCGGACUAAAAGCAUUCUCCGGAACCGGUUCGUAGUCAAGUUCACGAUUUCUAAAACAAUUUUUUAAUGACCACUUCUUGGGUUCCCGCUCUAACUGUCGUCGAGUUCGAGAGAGUGUAGGUACCCACUCUCUUCCUCCUCUACGUAGACUCUAGGGACAGCUAUAUAGACACAACAUGUUGUACGCGGUUAAACAGUUCAUGUCGGCAAAAUUCGUUAAACGCGACGCCCGGAAUCGUUCAUGUCAGUUACUCCUUCUCGAUCGCCUAGAUUUCCUGGUUAAGCUACGAUAACUACAACUAUUUUCACCUAGUUAAUCGUAACUUCUUUACGCCGUACGGGAACGCUUCCUAGAAGGAACCUCUAACUUCCCGGGAGCACAAGAGCUCUAGUAAGUUCGCUAGCUGUCGUUGUGCCUACCGGAACAGCUGAAGUUUCUCAAACAACGUCGUUGAGAGGUGUAUGUAGUCUACCGACUCGACCUGAGACUUUCCACCCCGGACGCGACGGUUCGACGAAAGUCGUUUAAGCUAGACCUACCACUACCUAUGUAGUGGGGGCUACUUGAAUCUUACGUGUGCCCGGACUUCCCUAGGUAGCUCGGUAACGACCUCCUCCGGCUGUAGCUGUUUCUACCCGCCUAUUCGGACAGGCUCAAGGCGUUCGAGGAUGCUUGGCGCUCGUACUCGUUGGACGGCUCGGGCAGGCCUCAAGGCUUAGGGGUCCGAGACACUCUUAGCUGAUCCUCGCAGAUAUCCCCCUCUACCACUACUCGUGUCAUCAGACAAAUAAAGAAGAAGAAAGCACGACAAAAGGCGCAAGGCACGCUACACUCCCAAAGACUAAACAAUCGUAGGUCCAAGACACACGUCAGUAACAUACCCAUCUGUUCAAAGUUCCAUUUAUAAAUGCCUCAACGCACCUUCCGCGUCUAAUGUCAAUUAAAGAACAUGUUGGAAAGGGGGGAAAAAAUGCCUUUUCAUGUAAAAAAAGAACAAAGGAGAAAGGCACAACGUUGUUUGUCCAAAUCUUGGGGGUUAAUAGGGAACCCUGUUCUCCUAUGUUUCCUAUACAAUAAGGUUACAGUCUUUCGUUUCCUCCACACCUCUUACGACCCUGACCUAGUCAAGUAAUUUUCUCGAACGCUUCAACUAAUACGACCACUCCGCCAGGAGCUCAAAAAUAAGAGAUAUGAACUUUUGCUCGACUGAUAGAACACAAUCUUUUUGACACCAAAUGGGGGAUAAGGAGGCACGAAUAGGCACUACGGCGAGUGUUAAGCACAUAUACUCCGAUCUCCCAUCCCUGGAAAAAAAAAACUUGGACACUUGUCAUCCUCUUGGAGGGUGACAAUACAAACAUAAUUUUACCACUAUAUGUUAAAUGUACCACAUAUAUGUACACAGUUGUGGGGUAAAACCCACACUCUCCCUC
rnacentral:rRNA from 1 species